rnacentral:rRNA from 1 species
UUAAAUUAGUGGCGGACGGGUGAGUAACGCGUGAGCAAUCUGCCUGUAUCAGGGGAAUAACACAAAGAAAUUUGUGCUAAUACCGCAUAAGACCACAGUAAGGCAUCUUACAGGGGUAAAAGAUUUAUCGGAUACAGAGGAGCUCGCGUCCCAUUAGAUAGUUGGCGGUGUAACGGACCACCAAGUCUGCGAUGGGUAGCCGACCUGAGAGGGUGAUCGGCCACACUGGAACUGAGAUACGGUCCAGACUCCUACGGGAGGCAGCAGUGGGGAAUAUUGGGCAAUGGAGGAAACUCUGACCCAGCAACGCCGCGUGAAUGAUGAAGGUCUUCGGAUUGUAAAGUUCUGUGAUGGGGGACGAAGAAAGUGACGGUACCCCAUAAGCAAGCUACGGCUAACUACGUGCCAGCAGCCGCGGUAAUACGUAGGUAGCAAGCGUUGUCCGGAAUGACUGGGCGUAAAGGGUGCGUAGGUGGCUGUAUAAGUUGGUAGUGAAAUUCCGGGGCUUAACCUCGGCGCUACUGCCAAAACUAUACAGCUUGAGUGCAGGAGAGGUAAGUGGAAUUCCUAGUGUAGCGGUGGAAUGCGUAGAUAUUAGGAGGAACACCAGUGGCGAAGGCGACUUACUGGACUGUAACUGACACUGAUGCACGAAAGCGUGGGGAGCAAACAGGAUUAGAUACCCUGGUAGUCCACGCUGUAAACGAUGAAUACUAGGUGUGGGAGGUAUCGACUCCUUCCGUGCCGCAGUUAACGCAUUAAGUAUUCCGCCUGGGGAGUACGGCCGCAAGGUUGAAACUCAAAUGAAUUGACGG